UUUUUUCGCUAUGACAAAUGUGUUUUUUUGAGGCGUAUCAGCGUCAGUCGGCAGAAAAUCCCGCAUAUAUCUACAAAACCAGAUCCGAUGCUAUAAGAUAGAUCCAAGGAAAAAGCCUGUUGUUAUGGUUUUUUAUUUCUUGUUUUACAAAAAGAGGUAAAGCGCAAAAUGAACAUUCGGAUAAGCGAUACUUUAUUUAAUUUUUUAGCUUUGGUGAUCAAAUGUAAUCCAAUCUAUCAUUACUCUUCGUAUUGAGCGAAAUCUCUUUAGGUGACACACUUGUGAGCGUAGAAGUGGCAGCGCCGAGAGCAGCACGCCUCGCCGA
rnacentral:sRNA from 1 species